GGGACACGUGGUAUCCUGUCUGAAUAUGGGGGGACCAUCCUCCAAGGCUAAAUACUCCUGACUGACCGAUAGUGAACCAGUACCGUGAGGGAAAGGCGAAAAGAACCCCGGCGAGGGGAGUGAAAAAGAACCUGAAACCGUGUACGUACAAGCAGUGGGAGCACGCUUAGGCGUGUGACUGCGUACCUUUUGUAUAAUGGGUCAGCGACUUAUAUUCUGUAGCAAGGUUAACCGAAUAGGGGAGCCGAAGGGAAACCGAGUCUUAACUGGGCGUUAAGUUGCAGGGUAUAGACCCGAAACCCGGUGAUCUAGCCAUGGGCAGGUUGAAGGUUGGGUAACACUAACUGGAGGACCGAACCGACUAAUGUUGAAAAAUUAGCGGAUGACUUGUGGCUGGGGGUGAAAGGCCAAUCAAACCGGGAGAUAGCUGGUUCUCCCCGAAAGCUAUUUAGGUAGCGCCUCGUGAAUUCAUCUCCGGGGGUAGAGCACUGUUUCGGCAAGGGGGUCAUCCCGACUUACCAACCCGAUGCAAACUGCGAAUACCGGAGAAUGUUAUCACGGGAGACACACGGCGGGUGCUAACGUCCGUCGUGAAGAGGGAAACAACCCAGACCGCCAGCUAAGGUCCCAAAGUCAUGGUUAAGUGGGAAACGAUGUGGGAAGGCCCAGACAGCCAGGAUGUUGGCUUAGAAGCAGCCAUCAUUUAAAGAAAGCGUAAUAGCUCACUGGUCGAGUCGGCCUGCGCGGAAGAUGUAACGGGGCUAAACCAUGCACCGAAGCUGCGGCAGCGACACUAUGUGUUGUUGGGUAGGGGAGCGUUCUGUAAGCCUGUGAAGGUGUACUGUGAGGUAUGCUGGAGGUAUCAGAAGUGCGAAUGCUGACAUAAGUAACGAUAAAGCGGGUGAAAAGCCCGCUCGCCGGAAGACCAAGGGUUCCUGUCCAACGUUAAUCGGGGCAGGGUGAGUCGACCCCUAAGGCGAGGCCGAAAGGCGUAGUCGAUGGGAAACAGGUUAAUAUUCCUGUACUUGGUGUUACUGCGAAGGGGGGACGGAGAAGGCUAUGUUGGCCGGGCGACGGUUGUCCCGGUUUAAGCGUGUAGGCUGGUUUUCCAGGCAAAUCCGGAAAAUCAAGGCUGAGGCGUGAUGACGAGGCACUACGGUGCUGAAGCAACAAAUGCCCUGCUUCCAGGAAAAGCCUCUAAGCAUCAGGUAACAUCAAAUCGUACCCCAAACCGACACAGGUGGUCAGGUAGAGAAUACCAAGGCGCUUGAGAGAACUCGGGUGAAGGAACUAGGCAAAAUGGUGCCGUAACUUCGGGAGAAGGCACGCUGAUAUGUAGGUGAAGUCCCUUGCGGAUGGAGCUGAAAUCAGUCGAAGAUACCAGCUGGCUGCAACUGUUUAUUAAAAACACAGCACUGUGCAAACACGAAAGUGGACGUAUACGGUGUGACGCCUGCCCGGUGCCGGAAGGUUAAUUGAUGGGGUCAGCGCAAGCGAAGCUCUUGAUCGAAGCCCCGGUAAACGGCGGCCGUAACUAUAACGGUCCUAAGGUAGCGAAAUUCCUUGUCGGGUAAGUUCCGACCUGCACGAAUGGCGUAAUGAUGGCCAGGCUGUCUCCACCCGAGACUCAGUGAAAUUGAACUCGCUGUGAAGAUGCAGUGUACCCGCGGCAAGACGGAAAGACCCCGUGAACCUUUACUAUAGCUUGACACUGAACAUUGAGCCUUGAUGUGUAGGAUAGGUGGGAGGCUUUGAAGUGUGGACGCCAGUCUGCAUGGAGCCGACCUUGAAAUACCACCCUUUAAUGUUUGAUGUUCUAACGUUGACCCGUAAUCCGGGUUGCGGACAGUGUCUGGUGGGUAGUUUGACUGGGGCGGUCUCCUCCUAAAGAGUAACGGAGGAGCACGAAGGUUGGCUAAUCCUGGUCGGACAUCAGGAGGUUAGUGCAAUGGCAUAAGCCAGCUUGACUGCGAGCGUGACGGCGCGAGCAGGUGCGAAAGCAGGUCAUAGUGAUCCGGUGGUUCUGAAUGGAAGGGCCAUCGCUCAACGGAUAAAAGGUACUCCGGGGAUAACAGGCUGAUACCGCCCAAGAGUUCAUAUCGACGGCGGUGUUUGGCACCUCGAUGUCGGCUCAUCACAUCCUGGGGCUGAAGUAGGUCCCAAGGGUAUGGCUGUUCGCCAUUUAAAGUGGUACGCGAGCUGGGUUUAGAACGUCGUGAGACAGUUCGGUCCCUAUCUGCCGUGGGCGCUGGAGAACUGAGGGGGGCUGCUCCUAGUACGAGAGGACCGGAGUGGACGCAUCACUGGUGUUCGGGUUGUCAUGCCAAUGGCACUGCCCGGUAGCUAAAUGCGGAAGAGAUAAGUGCUGAAAGCAUCUAAGCACGAAACUUGCCCCGAGAUGAGUUCUCCCUGACUCCUUGAGAGUCCUGAAGGAACGUUGAAGACGACGACGUUGAUAGGCCGGGUGUGUAAGCGCAGCGAUGCGUUGAGCUAACCGGUACUAAUGAACCGUGAGGCUUAACCUUACAACGCCGAAGCUGUU
rnacentral:rRNA from 1 species